GGGGGAAGUGCGCGUGCUUACACAUGCAGUCGAACGGUGAAGCCCAGCUUGCUGGGUGGAUCAGUGGCGAACGGGUGAGUAACACGUGAGCAAUCUGCCCCUGACUCUGGGAUAAGCGCUGGAAACGGCGUCUAAUACUGGAUAUGAACCGUGGAGGCAUCUUCAACGGUUGGAAAGAUUUUUUGGUCAGGGAUGAGCUCGCGGCCUAUCAGCUUGUUGGUGAGGUAAUGGCUCACCAAGGCGUCGACGGGUAGCCGGCCUGAGAGGGUGACCGGCCACACUGGGACUGAGACACGGCCCAGACUCCUACGGGAGGCAGCAGUGGGGAAUAUUGCACAAUGGGCGCAAGCCUGAUGCAGCAACGCCGCGUGAGGGAUGACGGCCUUCGGGUUGUAAACCUCUUUUAGCAGGGAAGAAGCGAAAGUGACGGUACCUGCAGAAAAAGCGCCGGCUAACUACGUGCCAGCAGCCGCGGUAAUACGUAGGGCGCAAGCGUUAUCCGGAAUUAUUGGGCGUAAAGAGCUCGUAGGCGGUUUGUCGCGUCUGCUGUGAAAUCCCGAGGCUCAACCUCGGGUCUGCAGUGGGUACGGGCAGACUAGAGUGCGGUAGGGGAGAUUGGAAUUCCUGGUGUAGCGGUGGAAUGCGCAGAUAUCAGGAGGAACACCGAUGGCGAAGGCAGAUCUCUGGGCCGUAACUGACGCUGAGGAGCGAAAGGGGGGGGAGCAAACAGGCUUAGAUACCCUGGUAGUCCACCCCGUAAACGUUGGGAACUAGUUGUGGGGUCCAUUCCACGGAUUCCGUGACGCAGCUAACGCAUUAAGUUCCCCGCCUGGGGAGUACGGCCGCAAGGCUAAAACUCAAAGGAAUUGACGGGGACCCGCACAAGCGGCGGAGCAUGCGGAUUAAUUCGAUGCAACGCGAAGAACCUUACCAAGGCUUGACAUUUACG
rnacentral:rRNA from 1 species